AGAGGAAGCACAGAGUAUGAACAAGAUUUCAGACCAUCAAUAGUUAGUUCCCCUCUGGUGCUCUUGUUAUGGCAACAGCAUACUUUUCCACAGCUGAUGAGGAUGUUAUGCAGGAAAAGAAAGGCAAAAAGAAAGGCUCAAAGAGGUCUCUAUGUUUCUGCUUAUUCCCCAGAGCACAACCCUCCCACAGGGAGACAGUUCAGAACUUAAAAAAAAUAAGAUAACAAAAAGCAUCACAUUAGCUAGCAUUCCAGAGGUAGAAGAGUCUUUUUAAAUGUUUGUAAACUUCCUUUCCUAGGAAAAUACACAUCUUAAGACAAAAGAGGAAAAAACUGGACUAGGUAUCAGGACACUAAAUUUGCAACUACCCACUGACAUUAAUUAGCUGUAUGACACUAACAAGUUACUUAAUUUCUCUCAGUUACAGAAUGAAAGCAUUAGGUUCCUUCCUAAUGUCACAAAAGUGAAGGAGACUGCAGUAACUUUACCUUUCAUUGAGGCCAGAAGCAGCUUCUCAAAGUUAGAACCGAACGUCAUUCACCCUCAUUCCUCCACAGGCAGAUAAAACAAAACAAAAUAAAAUCCAAGGGCAUUUUGAAUUUACUCAAAAAUUUUACUCUUCCUUAAUAAUGAGAAAAUGUACACUUCUAAAAAUAUGAGAAAUACAGCAAGUAUGUUUUCACCCAACUCUCAUUUUCCAAACCACAGGAAGGCAAUUUUGAGAAACCUUUUCAAGGGUAAGCUGUAUCCUCUGUGGGGAGAGAUGGUAAGUUCACUGUGUUGUGAAUGUCCUUGCCCAGGCUGAUCAUUUAGGGCAUUCAGCACAUCAACUGUUAUCCUGGAAUGCUCUGACAUGUGUAUGACACUCCAGAAAGUUUCCAGAAGUUUGAGACAGUAAACUCUAAUCCCCUUUCUUCCUACUAAAUAGAUUUUUCAAUACAAGCCUUCUAUCGCUUUUCUAAAUGUUUUCAAGUCUGAAAUAUAUAAGUUAGCACUUGACUCUUUACAAGUUUUUGUUUUAGAACUAAAAAGCUUUUCCACCCCUAACCCCCACCAAGAUUUUUAGACUAUUCAGAGCAAAGACUGCAUUUCCUACUUUUGCCUGUAGUCCCCUUUUGUGCAAAGCACUUCGCUAGACCCACAAAACUCACUUAAGGUACCUAACCAGAUUAAUUCAGGUGCCUAGAGGUGACCAAAUAACAACCCUGGUUCAGGGAAGGAAAAUUACAUGAGAGGAGAGAGGGAAAUGUAACAAAAGAGAUGAACAAACCAUCAGAAAAUUGGAAAUUUUCCAAAGCGGGGGGGGGGGGGGGGGCCGGAACUAAAUCAGUAAGUACUGAACAUCUAGGCAGCACUGAGUUAAUUGCUAUAAAAUAGUGAUUAAAUCCAAUCACAACAGUGCUAUAUCUUAUAAACACAUUAUGUAAGUCUUUGUGUUAAAAAUUUAAAGAUGACAAUGUGCUCUACCAAUAAAUAUUGGCUCAAUAUAAUAGAUGAACUAAGAUGACAAGUAUUUAUUUAUUUAUUUAUUUAUUUGGCGUUAUGCGGGCCUCUCACUGUUGUGGCCUCUCCCGUAGCGGAGCACAGGCUCCGGACGCGCAGGCUCAGCGGCCAUGGCUCACGGGCCCAGCCGCUCCGCGGCAUGUGGGAUCUUCCUGGACCAGGGCACGAACCCAUGUCCCCUGCAUCGGCAGGCAGACUCUCAACCACUGCGCCACCAGGGAAGCCCAAAGAUGACAAGUAUUUAAAUCAGAAAUUAAAAAAUGUAGAAACUGGGACUUCCCUGAUGGUGCCGUGGUUAAGAAUCCGCCUGCCAAUGCAGGGGACACGGGUUCGAGCCCUGGUCUAGGAAGAUCCCACAUGCUGCGGAGCAACUAAGCCCGUGCGCCACAACUACUGAGUCUGUGCUCUAGAGCCCGCACGCCACAACGAAGAGUAGCCCCCGCUCACCCAACUAGAGAAAGCCUGCCCGCAGCAGCAAAGACCCAACGCAGCCAAUAAAUAAAUAAAUUAAUUAAUUUUAAAAAGUGUAGAAACUAUCCGGAGACAGGGUCAGUGAUAUUUGAGAAAGAAGUUGUGGCUAUGUACACAGGGAGGAAGGAUAAAUGAAUCAGUAUUUCUGGCAGAAUCUUUCCAAGCAUUGUAGGAACUAAUCCAGACUAUGAGACAGGCUUCUAUCUUUAAACUACGCCUAAAGACUAUGCCCUUACUUUAAAAGCAUGGUAGCUUGGCUGUCUGAAAUAUGCCAAAAAGGGUGUCCCUGUGGCUCUUCCCUCAGGGGAAUAAUGAUUAAUAUACAGCUAAAAUAUACAGCUAAAAGUUUAGUUCCUUCCUCAAAGAAAUAAUAUCUGAGUGCAGUUGCUACUAUGACAUAAGUUCUGAACUGCUGGAAGCACAGGCAUUACGGAAUUCGCAAAGAAUUCUGGAAGAAGUUAUAAAUCUCUUUCCAUCACCUUGGAAAACAGUAUCCAUUUCUUAAAAGCCGUCAGUUCAAGUUCAAGACAACCCUAUCUGGAGCAGAUUCUCAUCUGCCAAAAUCUUUCACGAUUAAAAGGCAAGAAGAUUUCAGCAUGCUCAGGGUCUGGCCUUGAACAGAUCAGGUCAGGAGGGAGGUUUCUCCAAUGAGGUAAGCCACCUCACUAGUAACUCCACUGCUCUGCAAAGUUAUAACUUCCUUAAGCCCAGUUCUCCACACUUAAUGAUGAACUUCUCCCGCCUGGGUUAUUUAAAAGUCUUCCAAGGCAGCCUCCCCACCCCUAGAGUGGCCUGGCUGGAUUCCUCUGUAGAGCUCUCUCCUAGAUUUUUAUCCCCUGUUGGCAAGGUCUUCUUACUCUACCGCCUUGCUAUUGUGCAACCGAUUAAAGGAUCGCCCAGGCCUAACUGCAGGGGAUUGGUUGUAGUACAACUGGUGAGCCCAGCCCACAAGAACGAAGCUAGCAAUCUUGCAGACUGCAGGGGCUGCCAGCAAAGUCCCAACCCUCUAGCCAGAGGCCGUCACCAAAAGGCAAAGUUACGAAGCUAAAAAUGAAGCACCAUUCCCUUCAUAAUGUCCCUCAAGAUCGCAGUCCAGUCUCCUCCCUCUGGAGAAAAGCCCAGUGAGGGGAAAGACAACCUUUGAGCUCCCUUUUCCCGUGACCAAUUAAUUCAACGCUCUUCACCUCUACCCCAGUGUUCUUCCUUGUAAACAGUUUCUGGUCGUACUUUGAAAAGCAGUGUUCAGAAACCCCGCUCUGCACUGCCCCUUCCCCAGGAUCAAGCAAGCCCCCCAGCAAGGGUGCCCUGCUUGACAACGCCCUCUUCAAUCUACCUCCAAAGGCGGCGCCGCCAAAACUCUACCCUCAAGGCUGCCAGCGCUCCUUUCCCUACGCUAUUACUUGAGCAUUAUUUUAUCACUCCUCCUCCAGCCUGGGGACUCCCCCAACCCGCGGGGCCUGGUCCAGCAAAGUAAACAAUGCUGUCAAAGCAGGAUAACACUGGGCGAGGCUUCCAAACUCCGCAUUCCAGCCUCCUCCUGGUGUUCUAAAAGCAGCAAAACAAGUCAUCGCAGCGUCCCAGGAGCGACUUACUCUCCCCAACUUCCUUUCUACAAAGGCCCGGGAGACGGCUCCAAAAUCAAGCGUCAAUGUGCACAACUACACAAUAUGUAAGAGGCAGAGGUAAUGCGGAGUGAGUGCAAGGCCAAAUGUAGACGAAUUUGCCCCGGAGCAGGAGGAGAGGGGGCAGAAAACUGGGUAGAGUGCGUAAACCUGCCACGAGGCGGGAACAAGGGCUUUUUUUCGCUACAGGAGAGCCACUUCCCAGAGUGGGCACGCACUGAAUCGAGCUGCAGGCGAGAGAGAACGCGAAGUUAAGGGAUUUCUCGUCGCCCCUUCCUGGUAUCACCAUUUUGGUCUUCAUCUACUAUCUGCCACCUUCUGCCCUUCAUGUAAAUGUUGAUGUUCCCCGGGUUUUACCCUUGGUCCUCUUGCCUUUUCACUCCACAUCUCCCUAAGGCAAGAUGAGCUCAUAGACCCCUGAGCCAUGGACCACCUGGCCAAGAACUGUAAACCAGAGACAUCCUGACUCCCGAAACCAUGAUUAAGAAACGACACAAGACGAUGAUUAAUCCUAACCUCUUUGUUUUUCCCCCUUAAAACAUCCCUCACUCAAAGACGAGCUGGAGUGGAUCUGAGACUUGUCUCCCACUCCCUUGCUGGGCAUCCUGCAAAUAAACCCUUACUUUGCUGCAAAUACCUGCUGUCAGAGUUUGGCUUUCUGCGGCUGUGGGCACAUGAGCCCUCCUUAAAUUUUGUAUCUUGGGAACCUUUGGUACCUUUGCCUAGUCUCAGCCCUGCCAGGAGUCAUAGCAUCCUCAUUAAAAAACUUAAA